rnacentral:tRNA from 1 species
GGUGAUGUAGCUCAAUGGGAGAGCACUUGCUUGGCUAGCAAGAGCAAGGCUCUGCGUUCAAAUCCCUCAUUACUG